rnacentral:rRNA from 1 species
UACAGAGGGUGCGAGCGUUGUCCGGAAUCACUGGGCGUAAAGGGCGCGUAGGCGGCUUGAUAAGCGUGCGGUGAAAGCCCGGGGCUCAACCCCGGGUCGGCCGUGCGAACUGUCGAGCUGGAGCACUGUAGAGGCAGGUGGAAUUCCGGGUGUAGCGGUGGAAUGCGUAGAGAUCGGGAGGAACACCUGUGGCGAAGGCGGCCACCUGGGCCGACCCUGACGCUGAGGCGCGAAGGCGUGGGGAGCGAACGGG